rnacentral:rRNA from 1 species
GAAGGGUGCAAGCGUUACUCGGAAUUACUGGGCGUAAAGCGUGCGUAGGUGGUGAGUUAAGUCUGUCGUGAAAGCCCCGGGCUCAACCUGGGAAUGGCGAUGGAUACUGGCUCGCUAGAGUGCGGUAGAGGAGAGUGGAAUUCCCGGUGUAGCAGUGAAAUGCGUAGAGAUCGGGAGGAACAUCAGUUGCGAAGGCGGCUCUCUGGACCAGCACUGACACUGAGGCACGAAAGCGUGGGGAGCAAACAGGAUUAGAUACCCUGGUAGUCCACGCCCUAAACGAUGCGAACUGGACGUUGGGGGCAAUCAGGCUCUCAGUGUCGAAGCUAACGCGUUAAGUUCGCCGCCUGGGGAGUACGGUCGCAAGACUG